UCCUAAACGGACGCGGUAAACGUGCUAAGGUAGCUAAAUUAUGGUCUAUUAAUUGUAGGUCCUGUGAAUGGUUUGACGAGUCUUCAGCUGUCUCUAGUUUGUUUUGGUGAAAUUGAAUUGGAUGUGCAAAUGCUUCCAUGGAUGAGAAAGACGAGAAGACACCGUGAAGUUAGAAAUUGACGUUAGGGGGGGGUGGUUUUGGCUGGGGCAGCAAAGGAGCAAGACUAGACUCCUAUUAGGCAGUUGUGCUACGACCCACAUUGUGUGAUUAGCAGAAGAAGUUACUCCGGGGAUAACAGCGUUAUCGUCUUGAUAGUUCUUAUAGAUGGGCGGGUUUGCGACCUCGAUGUUGCUCUGGAUAUCCUUAGGCUUGAGGCGGUCUUUAGGGUUGGUUCGUU
rnacentral:rRNA from 1 species